rnacentral:rRNA from 1 species
AGUGAACGCUGGCGGUAGGCCUAACACAUGCAAGUCGAACGGCAGCACAGGAGAGCUUGCUCUCUGGGUGGCGAGUGGCGGACGGGUGAGGAAUACAUCGGAAUCGACUUUUUCGUGGGGGAUAACGUAGGGAAACUUACGCUAAUACCGCAUACGACCUACGGGUGAAAGCAGGGGACCUUCGGGCCUUGCGCGAUUGAAUGAGCCGAUGUCGGAUUAGCUAGUUGGCGGGGUAAAGGCCCACCAAGGCGACGAUCCGUAGCUGGUCUGAGAGGAGGCUCGGCCACACGGGAACUGAGACACGGUCCAGACUCCUACGGGAGGCAGCAGUGGGGAAUAUUGGACAAUGGGCGCAAGCCUGAUCCAGCCAUACCGCGUGGGUGAAGAAGGCCUUCGGGUUGUAAAGCCCUUUUGUUGGGAAAGAAAUCCAGCUGGCUAAUACCCGGUUGGGAUGACGGUACCCAAAGAAUAAGCACCGGCUAACUUCGUGCCAGCCGCCGCCGUAA